rnacentral:rRNA from 1 species
UACGUAGGGACCAAGCGUUGUUCGGAUUUACUGGGCGUAAAGGGCGCGUAGGCGGCAAUUCAAGUCAUCUGUGAAAUCUCCGGGCUUAACUCGGAACGGUCAGAUGAUACUGCUUUGCUCGAGUGCGGAAGGGGCAAUCGGAAUUCUUGGUGUAGCGGUGAAAUGCGUAGAUAUUGCUCGGAAGGCCAGAGCCGAAGGGGCCCUACUGGUACGUAACUGACACUGAGGCACGAAAGCGUGGGGAGCAAACAGG